AUUGAACGCUGGCGGAAUGCUUUACACAUGCAAGUCGAACGGCAGCACGGGUGCUUGCACCUGGUGGCGAGUGGCGAACGGGUGAGUAAUACACCGGAACGUACCCAGUCGUGGGGGAUAACGUAGCGAAAGUCACGCUAAUACCGCAUACGUCCGGAGGGAGAAAGCGGGGGACCGUAAGGCCUCGCGCGAUUGGAGCGGCCGAUGGGGGAUUAGCUAGGUGGUGGGGUAAAGGCCUACCAAGGGGACUAUCCGUAGCGGGUCUGAGGGGACGGCCCGCCACACUGGAACUGAGACACGGUCCAGACUCCUACGGGAGGCAGCAGUGGGGAAUUUUGGACAAUGGGCGAAAGCCUGAUCCAGCCAUUCCGCGUGAGUGAAGAAGGCCUUCGGGUUGUAAAGCUCUUUCGGCAGGGAAGAAACGGCUUGGGAUAAUACCCCGGGCUAAUGACGGUACCUGAAGAAGAAGCACCGGCUAGCUACGUGCCAGCCGCCGCAGUAA
rnacentral:rRNA from 1 species